GUAUGUUUGCAUUUCACCUAGCUUGGAAUCAAUAACCUAGUCCUUAAGUAAAUGUUUGAUUACAUCAUGAGCUUUCCUACAAAUUAGUUAGGUAGUGGUUUCAGCUGCUGCAUUGUUGCUUAUAUUUGAUAUACUACACAAUGUGACUGGAGUUUAUCGUGAUUUGCAGAAGAUAGAAUUUGGAUGCCCUUCCCUGGUCGACGACACCCUUCCCUGGUCGACGACACCCUUCCGUCGUGGGCUCUCAGUAGGACGGCGACCCACAAGAUCCACACCCUUGUGGCCAUGUGACCCUCAAGCUCGACGGCUAGAUCCCCUACGGCCAAGACCUUCUGCUCGAGAGUCAAGUCCCAGUCCGACUUCUCUGCUUCCCAACUGCUCCUUCAGUCCGGCUUCAGUAGCUCACUUCUCACCACGACCAGGAAAUGAAAGAUCGCUCGACAAACGGCCGCUUCCAGUCAGUUGGAUCUGAUCUUAUACCCGCACACGAGAGCUACCGGAGCAGCAGCAGAUUAACAAGGACCCAAGCUGGACUCCCAAGUUCUUCGGCUCAAGGCGCUAAGGUGUUGGAGACGUGCCUGUACUUGUUGAGCGUUUUAUCUGUAGAGUGCUAUAUUGUGAUUGGUGUAAUAUUGUAUGGUUAUAUUGUGAUUGGUGGAAUGUAAUAAACUUGAUUGGUAUAUUGGUGAUUUGGCUAUUAUUUGAAUA